AAAUCGGCUGCGUUGCCUGGGGACUCGCCUUUGCUCAGCGCUUCACAGUGGAGAGGUGACGGUAGUUUUCCUUGAGGCUUCAUUUGGCUGCUGGCUGGGCUUUCUGCCUUUGGCUCAGAGGGGCUCAGAAGUUGAAUAUACCUGUGCUGAGUGCUCGGAUCAGAAUCGGAUGGAUGCAUCAUCGACGGCCCACUAACCCUUGCCGGCGAAAAGGUCUGUCUGGAGCAGGGGCACAUGCUGGGGGGAAAGGAAAGGAGAUAUCGUGGGAGGGGGGGCUUUUGAAUUUGUUUUGGAGGCUCCUUCGAUUGACUUAUGGGGAAAAAGAAAGGAGCUGGUUGACUAAAAUGGUGGGUGACUGGCGAUCUCGUGGCGAGGGGGGGAGGCUGUGUGUGUGUGUGGCUAGUUAAUGCAAGCUGAGGGGGGGGUUGAAUGCUGGAUGCCAUUUUGUUGCACGUGCUGCUGCAAACUUUGCAGUGCAAAGCCAGGCCAGGGAGCCAUCUUAAGUUGAGGCUGCAUAGGCCUUGUGGUGCAUGUGAUUCAGAUUCUAUUCAGUUGAACCUCUCAUUACAAAGUUGGUUGGACAGUGUUCUCGUAGCUACCAAUAUGAGUUUGACCAGACUGCAGGAAGACAGGAAGACUGGAGUGCCUGGAACAGGUGAGGCUGCAGGUCCCUUAUUUUGGCUGCUGAUCCCUUAUUUUCAAAUCGGUAAGUUGACAGCUAUGGUGAGAAUGUGUCAGGCUUCGGGGAAUCUGGUAAGAAUGAAAGGAGUGUCCUUACCAGUUAGUUUCUUUAAUAAUCACAGUGAGAGACAAAGGAAUGCAUAACUCUCUAGAAAUGGCAUUGCUUCCAGUAAAGGCUCACCCUUUUCGUCCUCAUUAAUCUACGUCACUCCUACAUCGGGUAAUCUGAGCUUGUUGCUGCUGAGCUUUGAGAGUUCUAUCACUCUCAAAGCCCAUCUAGUUUUAGGCAAAGCGGGAGGGGUCAGGAAUGCUGUCCAAGGACACUGAAUCUGCCAGCAGUCUCUCUCCUGGUGUUUCCUCUUCUAGCUGUUCCUCACCCAGUAUCUCCCAGCUUUUCACCUCUGGACUAUGCCCUUAUGCAAACCACUGUUCUAAAUCAAUACUGUCCUCCUGCCCUUGGGAAGGUUCAGGAGAAGGGGAGGGCAGCUCCCACCAUUCCUCCUCAUUCCAGCCCCUGACAGAACUAGGCGUGUGAGUGCACAUGAUUGCAGCUCCCAAAAUGGCCACCGUGAUCUUGCUCGAAAAACAUGAAUGUCCCAUUUUUUCCCAGGGCACUUGGCAUAUAUGAAAACAUAGGAAGCUUCCUUAUACUGAGUCAGACCAGAGGCCCUUCUAGCUAUAGCAGUGGAGGCAGAACAUAGCCAUAUGGCUUGUAAUCAUUGAUAGCCUUGUCAUCCAGGAAUUGGUCUAAACAUCUUUUAAAGUUGGCGUCUGCUAGUAAAGUUCUGACUGUAGGAUUGGUUCUCGGCCACUUCCCUGCCCCUGCAACCCUUUCCGCUGGGACAUGGUAUCCAGCCCUCAUUGGUCCCAGCUGGCCUUCAUUCUGCAGAAGAUGGCACUGGCUGACUGGCAAGUAGGGCAAGCUGCAGACAUCUCCUGCAGAGAGGGAUGGAUUGACCCUUCUCUGCCCAGAAGGGAUUCUUAGCUCCACACACACACAUAAACCCUGUAACAUUUUUCGCAUCCUGCUGUUCUAAAUGAAUCACAGCCAGCUUCAGGUCAUAUCGUCUCCUGUUUACUGAGUUAGACAUGGUGGAGAAACUCUUCAGACGAAGUGGGGUCCAUUUGUAAAUGUUAACUGAAAUGGCAAGUCACAGGGCCGAGCUGUAGACAUAAAGCUCCUAAUGUAACGCGGCUGUUUUAAAGAUUUCUAAACAUAAAUGCCUUGUGCCUGAUGGAUAAUCAGCUAAUUAAAAACACGUUCCAGUUACUAAAUUGUUAGAUUAUGAGCCUAAAGGGACAGGAAUCUUUCUCUUUUGUUUUUCAAUAAAAUUGCUGUUAUGCAGCCUGAGCCUUUGGGAUAGACCAGCUAUAAAGCGGAACAAAUGAGUGAAUAAUAAAUUCUAUAAGGUUGCCAGCAGCCACUGCGGUUUUGUUUCCAUUGACCUGAUCUUGAUAAUAUCUUCAGCUUCUAAAUAAUGGGCAGCUGCUUCCCUGCCACCAUGAAUAAAAGAGAGAUGGAGCAGGAGCAGUCAACUGCCAACUUCUUCCCUUCACCUUGGAACUGGCAAAGAGAUUGCUUUCAGGGGUAGCCAACAUGGUGCCUUCCACAUCUUGUUGCACUACAACUCCCAUCUUCCUGAGACCAUUGACCAUGUGGUCUGAGGAUGAUGGGAGUUGCAGGUCAAAACAUCUGGAAGGCCCCAUCAUAAGCACACUUCCUGGGGAGCGUCUCGUUGAACUCAGUGGAUUGUGUAAACAUAGGCAGGAUAGAGUUAUAUGUCCAUUGGGUUUCAGUGGUAACAUGUUUAGCUAUUAGGACAAAGAUGUCAUGGAGGGGAGUAACGGUGUUCCCUACUAGUAUAUACUCAGGUUGCUGUUGCUAUCAGGCAGACUUAUAAAGAGAUGCUGAACUUAUAGAAAUGGCAAGUAGUCAUUAUGGUCCAUGACAGGGGAGGAGGAAAUUCCAAAUAAACAUUAGGGUGUUGUAUUGUCUUGAUUAGGAGCUGGGCCAACUAAAAUGUCAGAAGGUAGCAAGUUCUAUUUCAAGGAACAAAUUUAUUUAUGGGCUAGUCAAUGGUUCUGCACUACUGGAGCUUUUAAGGUUACAAAGCCGUUCCACAAUUGGCCAGAGUGCAUUCAUGUUUUCUUAAGAGAUUUCUGAACCGAACUUUCUUUUUAAGUUAACCUGGACUGGAGAUACUAUCUCGGUCUUGUUAAUGACAUCCUUGUAAACCCUUUAAAGAUGAUUGAAGCUAAUCAGGAUGUAAACCAUUUAAGUAAAACAAAUAAAUAAUGCAUGUGUUGAACCAUGCUCCCAACUCGUAAAAGAAAUGAAGUCAAGGCAUGAAGGAACCCCAUAUCUUCACAAAUAUCUGUCUGAAGAGAUGGAUGUCAGUUCCUUCUAAAUGAGUUCACUUAAGAGACGUCACCCCCAAUGUGCUAAUUUGUUGGUGGUGAUGGUAACAGUAUUUGUUUGAUUUCUUAUUUGCCCUUCACCCAGGGUGGAUUAUAAUCAUUUAAAAUUUAAAAAUGCAAUAUUGAAAUCAGUUAGAACAAAUGAUCAUCAAGAGAACAGGAUGGGGCCUAAAAAAAUUCUUUCAGGUGUCAAACAUCAGGGUAAAAUGCUGUGUCUUUGGCACAUGACAGAAAUGACAUAAUUAAGAUGAGGAAGAAAAUCCACAAUUUAGGGCUGUCAUGGAGAAUUUGUCAUGCACACAUACACCCACCAAACUUCUGAGGUUGGUGGAACUACCAAGAAGGCUACCUCUACCAAUCUUAACACCCAACUGAGCCAGUAAGGAUGGAGGUGGCUUUCAGAUAUUUAGGGCUUUAAACACUACUGUGAGCUCCUUAAAUUAGGCCUGAAAACAAACUGGCAACCAGGACAGCUGUUUUAAACAAAGGGUUAUGUGAAUUCUACAUGGAUACCAGCCAACAAUCUGGGUGCUCAUUUUGGACCUGCUGACAUUUCCAAACCAGCAUGUUGCAGUGAUUUAGAGUAUCAGACUAGGACCAGGGAGAUCUGUGUUCAAAUUCCCACUCAACCAUGAAGAUCAAUGUGAGAUCUUGGUCUGUCACUAGCUCAAGUCAACCUCACAAGAAGAAGGGGGGGAAUGGGGUGCAGGGAAACAUCCUGAAUUCUUUGGAGCCCUCAGAAAUAUGACUGGGUGCCUGCCUUCUGAAAUGUUUAAUUCCAUAAUUCCACCAUCAUAGAAUGGAGCAUAAAGCAUAGCCUGAGAGGGCUGUGUUUGUGUUUGUGUGGUUAUCCCAAUUAAUUCUUUUGUAACCAAAUUCCAGUGCUACCACAAAAGGGUUAUUCAACACUCCAUUUAAAUGCAUUUUUUAAAAAGUUAUAUUCCAGCUCAGAUGUAGCAUCUUUUUGAGCAUCGAGGUGCCUUUGAAAAUUAAACACACACAAGAUAUUUCAGCAAAGAAGAGAGGUAUUGUGCAUUUAGCAUCCAUGAUGACAGAAAGCACAGUUCAAGCCACAUAGAUGAAGAACAAUGGAGAAACGUUGGGAACAGGAAAUAUCUGCUGUACACAUUAGCCUCACUCUUGCUGCAGUAGAUGGUCCAGGUGGGGUCAUGUAUUGACCAGGAAGGAGCUGUAGGCAUUGUUGAAGAGAAUAGGCAAAUCCCAAAGCAUUCAUUCUCCAAUACGCAGCUGUGAUGUACAAGACAAACAAGCACAAAAUUGGGCCAGUAACAAAGGCACACAAUAGAAAUCAAAGGGCAAUCCAUGUAUGGUGGCUUCUAAGAAUAAUACUCUUUAUUCUUCCUUCCUUUUUUCUUUUUUUACUUAAUAUAUUCUAUGCCGUCGGAUUUUAUGUGAUUUUCGCUCUCUCAAAGGUUUGCAAUGCCUAUACAAAAACCAGAAGUGUACUGAGGCUUCAAAGAUAUUUGCACAAAAUAUUGCUUUUAGUAACCUCUAGGAGGUGGAGGAGGAAAGAGACCGGACCUGGGUCUGGUGUUAUUUUAAAACUAUACCAUUUGCUGAGCACCUCAUUAGUCUGCCUGCCAGCCAGGCAGGCAGCCACAGCAGCUAAAGGGAACAUCCAGAUUCCGUAGGGCAUGCGUCUUUCAAUCUCAGCUGCUAGGGGCAAUAAAUGCUCUCCUUUGAGUCCAGCUUGUGGUCUCUCUCUUCUGACUGGACCAUGCUAGCAGGAGAUCAGCAGCUCAGAUGCCCUCUUUCCCUGAUCCAGCAGGGUUCUUGUUGCAUUCUUCUGCCUGCUUCAGGAAAAGAGGGAAUAAAGGGGAGGGGGGAGGAUUUUCAUCACCACAAUUCCCAGCACAAGUUGACUUUUCGGUUUAUUGAUUUCCUGCCGUUGUUCUCAUUCUGUCCUUCAUUGAUUCAUAACAUUUCUCGCAGCCCAACUCAUUGUGUGUUUACUCAGGAGUCCCACGGACUUCAAAAGGGCUUACUCUCAAGUAAGAGCUAGGAAGGUGGGGGCGGGGACUGAAUUCAUAUUUUAAUGCAAACCUGCCUAAUCUGCACUUUCCAAGACAAUAUGUCAAGGGAAACAGAGCUGUCCUUUGAAAGUUGCACUUCUCCAAAGGUGGUGAUGCAGCUCUCUGGGAAACUAAUGCAUACAGAUAAUGUAUAUUAGGGUUAAAUGUACUUUAAAAUGCAUGUGUUACUGGUAGGAACUUAAAAUAGGCACUCCACUAGGGGAAAUUGCUUGCAAAAAAUUGUGGAUCAGGUAAAAUUCCAUACAAAAAGUAGAGUAUUGGCCCAAAUGCUGAUGAAUGUUAUUGAUUAUUAUUAUUUCUUAAGGUUCUCAAGUUCAUGCAGAAAUGUGGAGAAAUGAAUGAAAGAUUGGGAAAAUGAGAAACCAAAAUUGACAAAUGUGUCAUCCCUAAUACCAGUGCAAUGAUGUACUCAGAGGUAAGCUUUGUGGAACUUUCUCCCAGGCAAGUGAGUAUAGGAUUGCAGCCAAAGGGCACAUAGGAUUGCAUUGCUAGUCAGCUUUUUAUUUUUUAAGUGCUCGGAGCCAUGAAAUAAAAACAUAGCAAUAAUAAAAUAAAAACCAGCAUAAUAAAACAGCAGAUCCGACUUUAUUAAAAUAACAGAGAAAAAUUUCGCUUCAAAAAAUACUGAAAUAAAUUCCAAAGGGGUUUUAGUGAGGAAGACCUCACUAGACUCCACCACAGUCUAUUGAUGCUCAUGAGCCAAUUGUGUUGAUGCUCAAUGGAACUGAUAGGGCAGAAGGAAGGGAGACCAAAAGUAGGUGAAGCCAGAACCAAUGACAGACAGAGCCAACUACUUCUAGUUUUGUCCCCUUUCUCUUCUUCCUCUACAAGGGCAACACCAAGACUAGGGGCUCCCUCUGAGUCUGACAUCAUUCACAAAUAUCUGCGACAAUUUUACUGAUGCCAACACAGUUACUCAUGAUUUAACAUAAGCGCAAGUGAUUGUCUCCCAUCCUUAACCCAGCAUCUGCAGGUCAUAAAGC
rnacentral:lncRNA from 1 species